rnacentral:rRNA from 1 species
GAGAAUCAACGCUGGCGGCGUGCCUAACACAUGCAAGUCGCACGAGAAAGGGACUUCGGUCCUGAGUACAGUGGCGCACGGGUGAGUAACACGUGAAUAAUCUACCUCCGAGUGGGGAAUAACUGAGAGAAAUCUUAGCUAAUACCGCAUAACACUUACGAGUCAAAGCAGCAAUGCGCUUGGAGAGGAGUUCGCGGCAGAUUAGUUAGUUGGCGGGGUAAUGGCCCACCAAGACGAUGAUCUGUAUCCGGCCUGAGAGGGCGCACGGACACACUGGAACUGAAACACGGUCCAGACUCCUACGGGAGGCAGCAGUGGGGAAUUUUGCGCAAUGGGGGAAACCCUGACGCAGCAACGCCGCGUGGAGGAUGAAAUCCCUUGGGAUGUAAACUCCUUUCGAUAGGGAAGAUAAUGACGGUACCUAUAGAAGAAGCCCCGGCUAACUUCGUGCCAGCAGCCGC